rnacentral:rRNA from 1 species
UACAGAGGGUGCAAGCGUUAAUCGGAAUUACUGGGCGUAAAGCGCGCGUAGGUGGUUUGUUAAGUUGAAUGUGGAAUCCCCGGGCUCAACCUGGGAACUGCAUCCAAAACUGGCAAGCUAGAGUAUGGUAGAGGGUAGUGGAAUUUCCUGUGUAGCGGUGAAAUGCGUAGAUAUAGGAAGGAACACCAGUGGCGAAGGCGACUACCUGGACUGAUACUGACACUGAGGUGCGAAAGCUAGGGGAGCAAAUGGG